rnacentral:rRNA from 1 species
AGCCUGAUCCAGCCAUGCCGCGUGUGUGAAGAAGGCCUUCGGGUUGUAAAGCACUUUUGUUGGGAAAGAAAAGCAGUCGGUUAAUACCCGAUUGUUCUGACGGUACCCAAAGAAUAAGCACCGGCUAACUUCGUGCCAGCAGCCGCGGUAAUACGAAGGGUGCAAGCGUUACUCGGAAUUACUGGGCGUAAAGCGUGCGUAGGUGGUUUGUUAAGUCUGAUGUGAAAGCCCUGGGCUCAACCUGGGAAUUGCAUUGGAUACUGGCAGGCUAGAGUGCGGUAGAGGAUGGCGGAAUUCCCGGUGUAGCAGUGAAAUGCGUAGAGAUCGGGAGGAACAUCCGUGGCGAAGGCGGCCAUCUGGACCAGCACUGACACUGAGGCACGAAAGCGUGGGGAGCAAACAGGAUUAGAUACCCUGGUAGUCCACGCCCUAAACGAUGCGAACUGGAUGUUGGGUGCAAUUUGGCACUCAGUAUCGAAGCUAACGCGUUAAGUUCGCCGCCUGGGGAGUACGGUCGCAAGACUGAAACUCAAAGGAAUUGACGGGGGCCCGCACAAGCGGUGGAGUAUGUGGUUUAAUUCGAUGCAACGCGCAGAACCUUACCUGGCCUUGACAUGCACGGAACUUUCCAGAGA